rnacentral:piRNA from 1 species
GAGGUCAUGUAGGGGCCUUCACAGAUGGGA